AUCUUCCAACACAUGAUAGCCAGCCCCUUAUGGUCUAAAUCAACACAGAAUGACCUCACUUUGCUGUAUGGAAAGUCUCAUUAGUAAGGAAGCAUAUAUGAGUUUUCUGAGUCAAGACCUAAAGUGACUGUUUGGGGUUUUGUUAGGUUAAGUUUAGGGUAUCUUCCAACACAUGAUAGCCAGCCCCUUAUGGUACAAAUCAACACAGAAUGACCUCACUUUGCUGCAUGGAAAGUCUCAUUAGUAAGGAAGCAUAGAUGAAUUUUC